rnacentral:rRNA from 1 species
GACGAACUGUGCAAACGUUAUUCGGAAUCACUGGCUUACAGGGUGCGUAGGCGGCUUAGCAAGUCAGGUGUGAAAGCCCCGGCUCAACCGGGAACUGCGCUUGAAACUGCUGAGCUCGAGUCAGCUAGAGGUACACGGAACUUCCAGUGGAGCGGUGAAAUGUGUUGAUAUUGGAAGGAACACCGGAGGCGAAAGCGGUGUACUGGGCUGGUCUGACGCUGAGCACGAAGCCAGGAGCGAACGG